AUCAAAAAGGGAAAUAGCCUCGGACACAGUCCCUUUAAGAGCCAUUCUUAGAGCCAAGAGAUGGAAAUGUCUUUGUCACUGACUAAUGAAUAGUACGUUAACCCUUUAAGGAACAAUGCAUAGACAAAUCCCUUAAGGACACAUGACAUGUGUGACAUGUCAUGAUUCCCUUUUAUUCUAGAAGUUUGGUCCUUAAGGAGUUAAAUCCAUAAUGUGCCUGGUAUUUCAUUACAUUCUGGGGUUUAGAUGAUAAUAAUGUAGGUUUAUGUAGUGUGCAAAAAAGAAAGAAUGAGAACUCUGAGAACGGACAAUACCUUACAGUAAACUCAAUAGCCUGCCCUUCCGUACAUCCCCACUCAGGUCUCAAAUUUGUUUUUGCUCACUUCUGCCAUUACCGAGAGAACAAAUCUGAAGCAUAUCCGACUGGUCCCACCCGUACGGCAGUCCAGAUCUGGAAUGCCAGCA